rnacentral:sRNA from 1 species
UCUUCUUGAGAGAUCCCAUCUUUGGUCAUGUGUAAGAGCAAUUUAAUUACAUCUUCUCUGAUAAACUAAUAACGACAUGCAUGCUGCUUCCUGUGUACUAGGCGGACAGUAGUCAGCACGGGACGUGCAGAGUGGGAGUCCAGCAGGACGAGUCACUUUCUCUGUGGCCCAGUGUGAUUGCCUGGGUGACUCUACCCAAAGUAAAUGAGUCCUGUGCAACCAGCGUUGGCCUUCUCCGUGAGUCGGUGACCGCAGUCAUAGUGCUCCAGUGUCUUGGGCAGCUGCUAUGGCCCUGUCACUGCUCUUUGUGCAGUGAAGGGAGGGACCCUGCUGCCAGGAACCGAUUCCCUGGUGACUGUUCAGCUCCUGUGGCCCAGGGCAAUGCAUAACACUUGGCCCGCCACAGGCAAGACAGAAUAAAAACAGGUUGGGGAGAUCACUCAGUAGGUAAGAAUGCUUGCUCUGCAAGCAUAGAGAUCUGAGUUCAAACCCCCAGCACCUAUGUAAAACCCAGGCAUGGCCAUAUGCAUGUGAGCUGUGACAGGUUUUUCUUGGGCUUGACAGCUUCCCCCUGAGCUCCAGGUUCUGUGAGAAACAUGUGGAUAAACUACACCACAUAUGUAUAAUAAAAUAAAACGAUUUUUAAAAAUUAAAAAAAGACCCAGAACAACUAGUCCAGCAUUCCCGCUGCUCACAACAUGUUGGAGCCAGAAUUCCCCCCAUAAUUGUAAGGGAGCAGAUUGCCAAUCGUCAACUGCGCAGUCCUGUUUUGUGUGUUUACACCCACCACAGCGCUGAGGUGUGCACUUCAGGGUGACCGCCAAGGAAGACACAAUGAGCCAGAGUUCUCACCCAUGAUGUGGAGACCAGAGUCUGGCAGAGAGGUCUUCCACAACUCUAGACACAGCACAGUUAGCCCGAUGGAAGAUGCAGACCAGAGGAAACUGGCUUCCCUUUCUUUGAGCUAGAGGAAUAUCCUACUACAAAAGUGUCUUCUCUUGGUGACCAAACAAAAGGCUGGCUCACUGGGGUACGGUGUAACAGCAGCCUUCAAACCGAGAUUGUAACCCUAACUUAGAGUUGGUACUUUCUCACUGUUAACAGUCUGAACACAAAUCAAGAUGGAGAACACGGGGAGAGAAGGAAAAUCUCACAUAAAGCAACAACUGCCUCACUUGAAGGGCAGGUCCUUGGCUGACUGAGAGGAGGAGCCCCUUCACAGUGGCCCAGCUCUUCUUCCAGGUGGUUGGCUGGCUGUAGGCGCCAACACUACCACAAGUUCUUCCUCUCCUGUUUAAAAGUACUUUCCAACCACAAGGAUAUUGCAGCAAAUGAGAAAAGGACAAACCUUUUGAAAGGAAAGGAAAAUGGAAGAACAGCCACUCAGCCUGACAGGCGGACUGCCCGGUGUGUUAAAAGGGACUUGCUCUGACUUUGGGUGUUGGUCUGGUUGUUUUCUCCUGGGAAAUCAAGCACUGCAGAUGCCGCUUCUCUGACACCCAUCCCCAGAGCCGAGGAGGAGCGAUGGGCAGAGACCUCAGAGUCGACACACCUGCUUCCUUUAAGAACCACGGAAAUCUCACCCCGCAAGGACAAAAUACAGGGUUGGGGACAGACCAAGGCCAGCUGCUGACCCAGGUGUCUGGAGGAGAAGACAACUGAAGGCAAAGAAAAAGUGAGCCUCAAACCCAAGAAGAGCACGCAAGCCGACUGCAUUCGAGGGCCACUGCUGUGCGCUGUGUGCUCUGCCCUGUGUCCUUGACUGAUCACCGCAGCCAGCCUUCUAGAACCCGUUCAAGCUUGAGUUGCCAUCCUUUCCCCAUUCCUGACCUCGGGCAGUGUCCAGCUUCACACGCUGAGUGUGACUUUGCUGUUUUUGAUAGAAAGCCCCUCUGUAUAGAUUCUAAGUGGCCUUGCUGUGGUGGAGGGUCAGGAGCAGUGAAAGCCGAGGCCGUCUCCCAGCCACUCCAGUCUGCUAUCAAGAUCAACAAAGGAGACUCUCGCAGAGCUUGGCCGGUUCAGGCCACAGCUUUUCUAGGAACCAUUUCUUCCAGAUCGAGGUCUCCUGGCUGUGCAUGGUGUCAGCAUGAUCUCCCCACCAGAGCAAUCUAUCCUGUUUGUUUAAGACAGAACUGAGAGAGACAGGCAGUGUACACACUUACACACCCACCCAGAGACUAUUAAACUGUCAGGAGAGUCUGUGCAGAGGACUGACGGUAGUGAGUCCCAACAGAGGUUCUGCAGUCAGAUGACGGGCGUCUGGACAGUAAAGUCAUCUCUCCCAUUUGAGAUCCAUGUUCACAAUUAGUGGCACACUAAUGUGUUCGGUCACCAAAUCUUUAAGUCUCUCCAUAUUUUCUUAGUCUCCCUCAUUAACCAUCACUUGACAGCUUCUUCACUAGACUUGAAGGCACAGUGUGUGCGAUUAUUUUGGGAAACAAUCCCUCUGUGGAGCACUGCCACCCGCUGUCAACGCUGAAGAACACUCAGCACAGAGCAGAGCAAGAUAAUGCGCUAACCAGCCAGAGGAGAAUCUAGUCGGAGCAUCCUGGUGAGAAAUGAUUCCAAUAAGGGCUACCUGGAAAACCACAGGAAGGACACUGUGUCCUACAGUGCCACAAAACUUAAAAGAACCCAAAGAAAGUCAGAGCUUGGGACACAAGUUACUGUUGUGUGGUGGUGACAAAGCAAAGACACACAGAGGCUUUGGGAAAAUGUCUGUCAGAUAAAUGUGGCCACUUCCUAGAACUUCAUCAAGCUCAAUACCUACCACAUAUGUAAGCAUGUAUAUAUGCAUGCAUGUAUGUAUGCAUGUAUGAAUGUAUAUAUGU